rnacentral:rRNA from 1 species
GACGAACGCUGGCGGCGUGCUUAACACAUGCAAGUCGAACGGUAAGGCCCUUCGGGUACACGAGUGGCGAACGGGUGAGUAACACGUGGGUGAUCUGCCCUGCACUUCGGGAUAAGCCUGGGAAACUGGGUCUAAUACCGGAUAGGACCAUGGACUUCACGGUUUGUGGUGGAAAGCUUUUGCGGUGUGGGAUGGGCCCGCGGCCUAUCAGCUUGUUGGUGGGGUAAUGGCCUACCAAGGCGACGACGGGUAGCCGGCCUGAGAGGGUGUCCGGCCACACUGGGACUGAGAUACGGCCCAGACUCCUACGGGAGGCAGCAGUGGGGAAUAUUGCACAAUGGGCGCAAGCCUGAUGCAGCGACGCCGCGUGAGGGAUGACGGCC